rnacentral:rRNA from 1 species
AACGAACGCUGGCGGCAGGCCUAACACAUGCAAGUCGAGCGAGAUCUUCGGGUCUAGCGGCGGACGGGUGAGAAACGCGUGGGAAUAUGCCCUUCUCUGCGGAAUAGCCUCGGGAAACUGAGCGUAAUACCGCAUACGCCCUUUGGGGGAAAGAUUUAUCGGAGAAGGAUUAGCCCGCGUUGGAUUAGGUAGUUGGUGGGGUAACGGCCUACCAAGCCGACGAUCCAUAGCUGGUUUGAGAGGAUGAUCAGCCACACUGGGACUGAGACACGGCCCAGACUCCUACGGGAGGCAGCAGUAGGGAAUCUUAGACAAUGGGGGCAACCCUGAUCUAGCCAUGCCGCGUGAGUGAUGAAGGCCUUAGGGUUGUAAAGCUCUUUCAGCUGGGAAGAUAAUGACGGUACCAGCAGAAGAAGCCCCGGCUAACUCCGUG